GUCCAGACUCCUACGGGAGGCAGCAGUGGGGAAUAUUGCACAAUGGGCGCAAGCCUGAUGCAGCCAUGCCGCGUAUGAAGAAGGCCUUCGGGUUGUAAAGUACUUUCAGCGGGGAGGAAGGCGAUAAGGUUAAUAACCUUGUCGAUUGACGUUACCCGCAGAAGAAGCACCGGCUAACUCCGUGCCAGCAGCCGCGGUACUGCGGAGGGUGCAAGCGUUCAUCGGAAUUACUGGGCGUAAAGCGCACGCCGGCGGUCUGUCAAGUCGGAUGUGAAAUCCCCGGGCUCAACCUGGGAACUGCAUGCGAAACUGGCAGGCUGGAGUCUUGUAGAGGGGGGUAGAAUUCCAGGUGUAGCGGUGAAAUGCGUAGAGAUCUGGAGGAAUACCGGUGGCGAAGGCGGCCCCCUGGACAAAGACUGACGCUCAGGUGCGAAAGCGUGGGGAGCAAACAGGAUUAGAUACCCUGGUACC
rnacentral:rRNA from 1 species